rnacentral:lncRNA from 10 species
CAUGGCAUGUAAAAAUGACUCAGCCAACAGCUGGAAAGAAGCUGCUGGCCUUCAGGUCACAAGAUGUACAUUGCUGGCCUCAGCUGGAUUUUCCCAGGGUCAGGUGCCCAUUCCUACCUAAUCAAAGGACACUUCUGCUGACCUGCACCUAGAAUACCCUGUUCUGUGCUGAUGACUCAGAUGUAAGAAUGAUGAAGUGCAUCGGCUGGCAUGCAGAGAACAAUAAGAAAAAGAACUGAGUUGUGGGAAGACAUGAGGAAAGGACAUGAGGCUCUUAAUAACAGCUGCCAAGUACUGCAGUCGGGAAUCUGGAGCAAAGUGAUUCAAUUCUGACCACUGCCUGUGAGUAAAUGGGAUUUUAUUUUUCAAUACUUUUGUUUAAUAGUACCUCCUUCAUUACAUGUGAACAGCACUCCAGGACAGUAAAUCAUGAAAUGGGAAUAAAGCCUG